rnacentral:rRNA from 1 species
AUUGAACGCUGGCGGCAGGCCUAACACAUGCAAGUCGAACGAGUGGCGGACGGGUGAGUCAUGUCUGGGCAACUGCCUGAUGGAGGGGGAUAACUACUGGAAACGGUAGCUAAUACCGCAUACCCUCGGAUGUGCCCAGAUGGGCUUAGCUAGUAGGUGGGGUAAAGGCUCACCUAGGCGACGAUCCCUCGCUGGUCUGAGAGUAUGACCAGCCACACUGGAACUGAGACACGGUCCAGACUCCUACGGGAGGCAGCAGUGGGGAAGAUUGCACAAGGGGCGCAAGCCUGAUGCAGCCAUGCCGCGUGUAUGAAGAAGGCCUUCGGGUUGUAAAGUACUUUCAGCGGGGAGGCGUUACCCGAAGAAGAAGCACCGGCUAACUCCGUGCCAGCAGCCGCGGUAAUUC